rnacentral:rRNA from 1 species
GAGUUUGAUCUUGGCUCAGAUUGAACGCUGGCGGCAUGCCUUACACAUGCAAGUCGAACGGCAGCACGGGAGCUUGCUCCUGGUGGCGAGUGGCGAACGGGUGAGUAAUGCAUCGGAACGUAUCCUGGAGUGGGGGAUAACGUAGCGAAAGUUACGCUAAUACCGCAUAUUCUGUGAGCAGGAAAGCGGGGGACCUUCGGGCCUCGCGCUCUUGGAGCGGCCGAUGUCGGAUUAGCUAGUUGGUGAGGUAAAGGCUCACCAAGGCGACGAUCCGUAGCAGGUCUGAGAGGAUGAUCUGCCACACUGGAACUGAGACACGGUCCAGACUCCUACGGGAGGCAGCAGUGGGAAUUUUGGACAAUGGGGGCAACCCUGAUCCAGCCAUGCCGCGUGAGUGAAGAAGGCCUUCGGUUCGGUAAGACGUCUUUCGUCGUACGGGAAGGAAA